UUUUGUUGUUGAUGACAUUUCUAAAAUUUAUAAAAAAACGCCUUCAAGAUGUGGCUAAUGGGAGUCACCGUAGUAGCCUUCAAAGCCAUCUAAAAUAACUUCAAAACCCUCUUAUCAACGUUUUAUUAUACACACUGCAAGUGUACAUAUAACGUAGUAACGGACACAUAGAUAACAUGUAAUAUGUUCAAUAUUUACUGUAUUUUAGGCAUGUUAUGCAUAACCGGAACUUAUUUCCUCACCGCAAUAUUUUUAUCACAAAAAAAAAAGUGCAGUUUCCCUUUCAGUAAAAUGUUCUAAAAUAAUAUAAAUGCAAAUCACAAUACUUAGAAUGUGUCAGGUUUUGUUCCUCUCCUUUUUAUUGUGGAUUUACUUUUUAACACCCCCUUGCCCCCCAUGUUCCUAUUUACUGACUUUCUAUCAACAACUUUUUUUUUGUCAUUAUUCGAUUGUUCCAAAAAACAGCAACAAUAACUAUUUCUAUAACUACUACAUUAAACUGAUUCAAGUACACACUGCAAAUACUUGACUUGCUUCCUUUUCUUCAGCAGUUCCGGUGCACGCUGAGGCCUGCUGUGUUUUCAUAAUCGUCAGCAUCUGACAGGGGCUGGCAUAAAGGGUUUGCAGAACUUUGGUCCAACUUUACAUCUGGAACUACUGGGCCUCAUGCAGACUCCUGAGAAGAUCAGAAUGGUCCCAAGCACAGCUAUUGUAGGAAUGAUGAUGUGGUCGUAGCUUUCUCUGCCUGAAAAUACAGUUUUAUUCUUUUAAUCUACACACAGCUUUUACACAUUUCAAAUUGCAAAGUCAGCAUACACACAAAAAUGUUCAAAUUCCAACAUGAAAUAAACAUUU